AGUGAACGCUGGCGGCAGGCCUAACACAUGCAAGUCGAACGGCAGCACAAGAGAGCUUGCUCUCUGGGUGGCGAGUGGCGGACGGGUGAGGAAUGCAUCGGAAUCUGCCCAUUUGUGGGGGAUAACCUCGGGAAACCGGGACUAAUACCGCAUACGACCUACGGGUGAAAGCAGGGGAUCUUCGGACCUUGCGCAGAUGGAUGAGCCGAUGCCGGAUUAGCUAGUUGGAGGGGUAAAGGCCCACCAAGGCGACGAUCCGUAGCGGGUCUGAGAGGAUGAUCAGCCACACUGGGACUGAGACACGGCCCAGACUCCUACGGGAGGCAGCAGUGGGGAAUAUUGGACAAUGGGCGCAAGCCUGAUCCAGCCAUGCCGCGUGUGUGAAGAAGGCCUUCGGGUUGUAAAGCACUUUUGUUGGGAAAGAAAAGCAGCCGGUUAAUACCCGGUUGUCAUGACGGUACCCAAAGAAUAAGCACCGGCUAACUUCGUG
rnacentral:rRNA from 1 species